GAUGAACGCUGGCGGCGUGCCUAAUACAUGCAAGUCGAGCGAAUGGAUUAAGAGCUUGCUCUUAUGAAGUUAGCGGCGGACGGGUGAGUAACACGUGGGUAACCUGCCCAUAAGACUGGGAUAACUCCGGGAAACCGGGGCUAAUACCGGAUAACAUUUUGAACCGCAUGGUUCGAAAUUGAAAGGCGGCUUCGGCUGUCACUUAUGGAUGGACCCGCGUCGCAUUAGCUAGUUGGUGAGGUAACGGCUCACCAAGGCAACGAUGCAUAGCCGGCCUGAGAGGGUGGUCGGCCACACUGGGACUGAGACACGGCCCAGACUCCUACGGGAGGCAGCAGUAGGAAAUCUUCCGCAAUGGACGAAAGUCUGACGGAGCAACGCCGCGUGAGUGAUGAAGGCUUUCGGGUCGUAAAACUCUGUUGUUAGGGAAGAACAAGUGCUAGUUGAAUAAGCUGGCACCUUGACGGUACCUAACCAGAAAGCCACGGCUAACUACGUGCCAGCAGCCGCGGUAA
rnacentral:rRNA from 1 species